rnacentral:rRNA from 1 species
GAUGAACGCUGGCGGCGUGCCUAAUACAUGCAAGUCGAGCGAACAGACGAGGAGCUUGCUCCUUUGACUUUAGCGGCGGACGGGUGAGUAACACGUAGGUAACCUACCUAUAAGACUGGGAUAACUUCGGGAAACCGGAGCUAAUACCGGAUAAUAUUUCGAACCGCAUGGUUCGAUAGUGAAAGAUGGCUUUGCUAUCACUUAUAGAUGGACCUGCGCCGUAUUAGCUAGUUGGUAAGGUAACGGCUUACCAAGGCAACGAUACGUAGCCGACCUGAGAGGGUGAUCGGCCACACUGGAACUGAGACACGGUCCAGACUCCUACGGGAGGCAGCAGUAGGGAAUCUUCCGCAAUGGGCGAAAGCCUGACGGAGCAACGCCGCGUGAGUGAUGAAGGUCUUCGGAUCGUAAAACUCUGUUAUUAGGGAAGAACAAACGUGUAAGUAACUGUGCACGUCUUGACGGUACCUAAUCAGAAAGCCACGGCUAACUACGUG